GACAGAGGGGGCAAGCGUUGCUCGGAAUCACUGGGCGUAAAGGGCGCGUAGGCGGGAUGGCAAGUCAGUCGUGAAAUCUCUCGGCUCAACCGAGAAACGUCGGCUGAUACUGCCGUUCUUGAGGGAUGCAGAGGAGACUGGAAUUCCCGGUGUAGCGGUGAAAUGCGUAGAUAUCGAGAGGAACACCUGCGGCGAAGGCGGGUUGCUGGGCUGACACUGACGCUGAUGCGCGAAAGCCAGGGGAGCGAGCGGG
rnacentral:rRNA from 1 species